AUGAAGUUGAAGGUUCAAAAUAUGAUGGUAAAAAAGAUAAAAACACAAGAGAAUACCAUUAUUGUAAGUAGUGUUGAUGACAGUGGAAUUCUCAGUUAUGAUAAGAGUAAUAGACCUUCGGAUUAUAGCAUGGAAGCAACAUCUAUUGCAGACAUGUUUGGCAGGAUGAAAGGUAACAUGGACAUUAGAAGUGCAAAAGAAGAAGAAGAACUAAUUGUUCAAGAGAGAAAAAAUAUCAGUUAUGAGACUUCUGAGAUUCGAUAA